UACGGGGGGGGCAAGCGUUGUUCGGAAUUACUGGGCGUAAAGGGCGCGUAGGCGGCUCGCUAAGUCGGGUGUGAAAACUCUGGGCUCAACCCAGAGCCUGCAUUCGAAACUGACGGGCUAGAGUUCUGGAGGGGAAAGCGGAAUUCCUGGUGUAGCAGUGAAAUGCGUAGAUAUCUGGAGGAACACCGGUGGCGAAGGCGGCGUUCUGGACUGCAACUGACACUGAAGAACGAAAGCCAGGGGAGCAAACGGG
rnacentral:rRNA from 1 species